AUGGCUAACACAACCUUGUCUUCGGGUACCAUCUACCACUCGCGCGUGCUCAUCAGAUGCUCCUCGUCGGAGAGGGGAGGGCAGCAGCGGAGCAACGCGGCCGUGAGGGUCAACGGGGCCGCGCACCGCGCCACGCUGCAGGUGGGGGCGGCGCUGGAGACGUCCAUCAACGAAACGCUGGCGGAGCUCAGCGCCCCGCUGCUGGCGCCGGCGACGGACGGACGGGAGCGCAGUCGGCAGAACAUCCCGACGGAGAAACAGGCCGAGGAUCCCUUCCGGCAGGCGCAGAUCGUGGAGGGCGGGGUCCGGUACCAGCAGACGGUGGUGGUGCGCUCCUACGAGGUCGGCCCUGACAGAACGGCCACACUCGAGACCAUACUGAAUCUUCUCCAGGAGACAGCAUUGAACCACGUGUGGAUGUCGGGCCUGCUUGGCGACGGCUUCGGCGCGACGCACGGCAUGAUCAAGAGCAACCUCAUCUGGGUCGUGUCCAGGAUGCACGUCCAAGUCGAUCACUACCCAUUAUGGGGUGAUGUGCUGGAGAUUGACACGUGGGUUGGCUCGUCGGGAAAGAACGGGAUGCGGCGUGACUGGCUCAUCCGCGGCCGCGGCUCCGGCAACAUCUACGUCCGGGCAACCAGCACAUGGGUGAUGAUGAACAAGAACACCAGGAGGCUGUCCAAGAUGCCCGAGGAGGUCAGGGGCGAGAUCUCGCCGUGGUUCAUCGACCGCCACGCCAUCCACGAGGAGGCCACCGAGAAGAUCAUCAAGCUCGAUAGCAACGCCAAGCACGUCGACUCUGACUUGAAGCCGAAGCGAAGCGAUCUGGACAUGAACCAGCACGUCAAUAAUGUCAAAUAUGUACGGUGGAUGCUUGAGACUAUCCCCGAUCAGUUCCUGCAGCACCACCAGCUUAGCAGCAUCAUCCUGGAGUACAGGAAGGAGUGUGGGAGCUCCGAUGUGGUGCAGUCGAUUUGCCAGCCAGACGAAUACUCGGUUUCGCCAAGCGAGAACGUUAGCAUGGUGAGGGGACCCUCACUCUUGCCAGAAGUCAUCAAUGGCCACCACAGCUUGGCCGGUGCACUGCAGCAAUGGCCAACAAAGUACACGCACCUUCUGCAACUAAAAGCAGGUGAAGGGUACGAGGAGAUUGUUAGGGGCAGAACCACAUGGAAGAAGAAGUUAUAA
rnacentral:rRNA from 1 species